rnacentral:lncRNA from 1 species
AUUAAGAAGCUUGUAUUUUUAAAAUUAAAGUCAGUAUCUUUUGAAUAUUCUGGGAAGAAAUGGUAGGGUUAUGGCAUAGGAAGAAGCAUGAGUAGAGCUGAGCAAUUAUGGUAUAAAGAGAGCCUGAGUAGAGGGAGCUUUAGUACAUUUAUAACAUAGAGGUCACUUGAAUAGCUCAGUAGGAUAGGCGGUGUCUAGAAAGGAUGGACCAAUGGUAUCAAGGUAGCUUACGGACCUCUCAGAAUCUUAUGUCUUGUUUCAGUCUGGUCUGAGAUCUUAUUGCUCUUGUCGCCAUCCAAGGAUUUGCUGUGUUGGGUACAUUGAGUCAAGGUUUACAAUUGCCGAAAUACAGAAUAAAUUCCUCGCAUUAGCUGUUGAAUACUCGGGACACUUCAUCCUUCAAAUGCUCCAUGCUUCCUUAAAAUCGCCAACACUAUUUCUGAUGAUUCUUAUACGAAAUGGAAGAACGGAAGAAAUACAACAUGGAAGACUUACAUUGUGUGUUAAGCAAUUC